CCGAGCAUAAUUUAAAUAAAAUGAUUCGCUUACACCGAACCAAUGUCUGCUAAACCCAAACUGCUCCGCG
rnacentral:tRNA from 1 species